rnacentral:rRNA from 1 species
UUGGAGGGCAAGUCUGGUGCCAGCAGCCGCGGUAAUUCCAGCUCCAAUAGCGUAUAUUAAAGUUGUUGCAGUUAAAAAGCUCGUAGUUGAACCUCGGGGUCUACCCAUUGGUCAGGCUUAAUUGUCUGCACUGGUGAGAUGGAUCUCUACCUUCUGAGGAACUUUCAUGCCAUUUAUUUGGUGUGAUGGGAAAUCAGGACUGUUACUUUGAAAAAAUUAGAGUGUUUAAAGCAGACUACCGUCUGAAUACAUUAGCAUGGAAUAAUGAAAUAGGACGGACUGAUUCUAUUUCGUUGGUUUCUAGGAUCACCGUAAUGAUUAAUAGGGAUAGUUGGGGGCAUUAGUAUUCAAUUGUCAGAGGUGAAAUUCUUGGAUUUAUUGAAGACUAACUACUGCGAAAGCAUUUGCCAAGGAUGUUUUCAUUAAUCAAGAACGAAAGUUAGGGGAUCGAAGACGAUCAGAUACCGUCGUAGUCUUAACCAUAAACUAUGCCGACUAGGGAUCGGACGAAGUUAAUUUUAUAAUGACGCGUUCGGCGCCUUACGGGAAAC